GUCCAGACUCCUACGGGAGGCAGCAGUGGGGAAUAUUGCACAAUGGGGGAAACCCUGAUGCAGCGACGCCGCGUGAGCGAUGAAGUAUUUCGGUAUGUAAAGCUCUAUCAGCAGGGAAGAAAAUGACGGUACCUGACUAAGAAGCCCCGGCUAACUACGUGCCAGCAGCCGCGGUAAUACGUAGGGGGCAAGCGUUAUCCGGAUUUACUGGGUGUAAAGGGAGCGUAGACGGCUGUGCAAGCCAGAUGUGAAAGCCCGGGGCUCAACCCCGGGACUGCAUUUGGAACUGUGUGGCUGGAGUGUCGGAGAGGCAGGCGGAAUUCCUAGUGUAGUGGUGAAAUGCGUAGAUAUUAGGAGGAACACCAGUGGCGAAGGCGGCCUGCUGGACGAUGACUGACGUUGAGGCUCGAAAGCGUGGGGAGCAAACAGGAUUAGAUACCCCCGUA
rnacentral:rRNA from 1 species